rnacentral:lncRNA from 1 species
UGCACACAGCCUUGCAGCGCAUUCAAAUGGUACUCAAUCCAUUAUUAUUAUUUUUUUCUCCCGUUUAUUUUCUUUCAGAGACCAUGAUGGUAAGGAGCAGGAGAUACUGUAGUUCUUGAACCUGUCCUAGGUGCAAUAACCAAUCUGUAAUUGGGAGUACCCUGUUGCUGUAGCAGGUCAGAGUGGCUUUUUCCAGUAGAGAGAAACCCCUGGACAGGGACAACAGCAGAGGGACUGGUAGCCAAACGGGUGCAGCAUUUCGUACAUCAGUUUCUAUUCUGUGGAAUGGCUAAGCAGCAAAUGUCAAGCACAUGUGUGGCUUAUGACAGCAAGAAGGAAAAUGGAAGCAGGACACACAUAACAGAAGUUAACGCUGAGCAGAUUUACAAUCAAGAUGGCCCACAGAAUGACAGAAGACGUAACUUUCAGGGAGUUGUCUCUGGUCUCAGAGAGGUUGGUUUCAAAUUGAAAAGGCAGGCAACAGAGGUCAUAGUCCUUUUAGUAAUUAACAUGUAACAUGUACAUAAGUAAAACUGUGUAAAUCAUGGCAGUAAACUGCUGCUAAUUAAUAUGAUGCUGGUUGCAUUCCUGGUCAUACACCCAGCCACACAGCAGACACUUUUUGAUCCACGGUAAUUUACUCCCAUAACUUACAAGAGUUCAUGUGCUUGUGUAAAUUGGCAACAAGAUGGCU